rnacentral:rRNA from 1 species
GGCGGACGGGUGAGUAAUGCUUAGGAAUCUGCCUAUUAGUGGGGGACAACAUUCCGAAAGGGAUGCUAAUACCGCAUACGUCCUACGGGAGAAAGCAGGGGCUCUUUAUGACCUUGCGCUAAUAGAUGAGCCUAAGUCGGAUUAGCUAGUUGGUGGGGUAAAGGCCUACCAAGGCGACGAUCUGUAGCGGGUCUGAGAGGAUGAUCCGCCACACUGGGACUGAGACACGGCCCAGACUCCUACGGGAGGCAGCAGUGGGGAAUAUUGGACAAUGGGGGGAACCCUGAUCCAGCCAUGCCGCGUGUGUGAAGAAGGCCUUUUGGUUGUAAAGCACUUUAAGUGGGGAGGAGGCUUACCUGGUUAAUACCUGGGAUAAGUGGACGUUACCCACAGAAUAAGCACCGGCUAACUCUGUGCCAGCAGCCGCGGUAAUACAGAGGGUGCGAGCGUUAAUCGGAUUUACUGGGCGUAAAGCGCGCGUAGGUGGUUAAUUAAGUCAAAUGUGAAAUCCCCGAGCUUAACUUGGGAAUUGCAUUCGAUACUGGUUAGCUAGAGUAUGGGAGAGGAUGGUAGAAUUCCAGGUGUAGCGGUGAAAUGCGUAGAGAUCUGGAGGAAUACCGAUGGCGAAGGCAGCCAUCUGGCCUAAUACUGACACUGAGGUGCGAAAGCAUGGGGAGCAAACAGGAUUAGAUACCCUGGUAGUCCAUGCCGUAAACGAUGUCUACUAGCCGUUGGGGGAUUUGAUCCUUUAGUGGCGCAGCUAACGCGAUAAGUAGACCGCCUGGGGAGUACGGUCGCAAGACUAAAACUCAAAUGAAUUGACGGGGGCCCGCACAAGCGGUGGAGCAUGUGGUUUAAUUCGAUGCAACGCGAAGAACCUUACCUGGCCUUGACAUAGUAGAGACUUUCCAGAGAUGGAAAGGUGCCUUCGGGAAUCUACAUACAGGUGCUGCAUGGCUGUCGUCAGCUCGUGUCGUGAGAUGUUGGGUUAAGUCCCGCAACGAGCGCAACCCUUUUCCUUACUUGCCAGCAUUUCGGAUGGGAACUUUAAGGAUACUGCCAGUGACAAACUGGAGGAAGGCGGGGACGACGUCAAGUCAUCAUGGCCCUUACGGCCAGGGCUACACACGUGCUACAAUGGUCGGUACAAAGGGUUGCUACCUAGCGAUGUGAUGCUAAUCUCAAAAAGCCGAUCGUAGUCCGGAUCGCAGUCUGCAACUCGACUGCGUGAAGUCGGAAUCGCUAGUAAUCG